rnacentral:hammerhead_ribozyme from 1 species
AUCCAGCCGACGAAUCCCAAAUAGGACAAAAUGCGCAUUCUGGAU